rnacentral:rRNA from 1 species
UACGUAGGUGGCAAGCGUUGUCCGGAUUUACUGGGCGUAAAGAGCGCGCAGGCGGUCGGAUAAGUCGAAUGUGAAAGCCCCCGGCUCAACUGGGGAGGGUCAUUCGAUACUGUUCGACUCGAAGGCAGGAGAGGGAAGUGGAAUUCCCCGGUGUAGUGGUGAAAUGCGUAGAUAUCGGGAGGAACACCAGUGGCGAAGGCGACUUCCUGGCCUGUUCUUGACGCUGAGGCGCGAAAGCUAGGGGGAGCAAACGGGG